rnacentral:rRNA from 1 species
UACGAAGGGGGCUAGCGUUGCUCGGAAUCACUGGGCGUAAAGCGCACGUAGGCGGAUUGCUACGUCAGGGGUGAAAUCCUGGAGCUCAACUCCAGAACUGCCUUUGAUACUGGCGAUCUUGAGUCCGGGAGAGGUGAGUGGAACUGCGAGUGUAGAGGUGAAAUUCGUAGAUAUUCGCAAGAACACCAGUGGCGAAGGCGGCUCACUGGCCCGGUACUGACGCUGAGGUGCGAAAGCGUGGGGAGCAAACAGG